rnacentral:lncRNA from 1 species
CGAAACUUGUGAACACCAGUGGUGGCUUGCCUGUCAGGGAACCGUCGUUGACCGCAAGGUGACGCAGACGGAUACACUUAGAAAUGGCUUCUUCUUCUGAGCUCAUAGUGAGUCGCGUACAGCCGUGCUCGAAGCUCGGUUUUUCGAUGCCGAUCCCUUCUAUGGCAGGCUGGUAUGUGCAGGUCACGGAUGACUCUGGUAAUCUUCUCUACGCGCUCUCAACUCCUUCAUUUCCCAAACCCGCUCUGACAGCAAAGGGCCUAAUUCACGCGCUCCUAUCCACGUGCUGUUCGCACCUGGGAUGCCGGCCAACAUUGCUGCACGCGUGUCCCGAUAACGGUGAAAGUCACGACAGGUCAACUCGACCAGAGGCUAUGUUUGGAUCGUGCAGAGUGAUUUUAUCCGCAGAAGAAAUGAGCGAACCUCGCGAGGCAACGUAUAGUGAGCUCGAUAGACGCAAGAUGCGUGUGGACUCGGUUGAAAGAUACGAAACAACUGAAAGACGAGAGAGAACCAACUGUUUGACAACAGGACUCACCAGGAACCGCAGCAGUGAUGGAAUGCUCGCUGAAACAGGGCGGAGAGUUUACGUAUUUUUUCUGUGUCAAGUGAGUUCAGCAGGGUUGUCAGUGACCAAGGCGAGAACGCUUUGUGUUCUGGGUAGAGGUGGCACGAUUCAAUAAGGCGAGGCACAGGAAGGGAAAGCCUGUUUUCCAUAUAUAGUUAGCGGGUGAACGGCUCCUGCUUGACUCGUGCAUCUUUGAACAUCACGUCGAACUCGGAAAGGGUCACAUUCCACAAAUUCCCACUCAAACAGAAUUCUUCUAUAAGCAACGGCUUCGAGCGAUUCGCGGCAAUACGGCGG